GGACAGUGGGCAAAAAAGCAUGGAAAACUGGUUUCUCUCAGUGAACAGAAUCUGAUUGAUUGUAGAAAUGGACCUAUUGGAUGCUCUGGUUCAACCGCAUUGAGAGCCUUUGAUCUAGUGAUUCAACUUCAAGGCAUCAAUUCUGCUGAAACUUACCCUUACAUAGGAAAGCUGGGGAACAGACUGGGGUGAAGACGUGUACAUCAAAAUUGCAAAGGAUAGAGGGAAUCACUGUGGAAUUGCCAGUUUUGUGCGGUACCCUGUCGUGUAACGAGCCAACUGAUAAGACAGAGCUUCAUCAAUCCCAGCUGAAUGAAAAUCCGGACUAUUUCUGUUAAUGCUGACUCAUUCAAAGACAUUGCUUUAAUUGUCUGCUGCAAAUUUCAAAAGUGAAAUAAUAACGAUUUUUGCACAUUUCUAUCGCUUCAUAUAAAACCAAUGGCAUUGUCUGAUUGAUACAUAUCGCCACUGUAAAUGAUAGAGUGAAUACAUUCUCCAGCUUGUAGAAGACAAUAAUCUGCAUGUACUGCUGAUGUCCAACAAUAUAAUAAAGGCUGCCAGCAAUCA